GACGAACGCUGGCGGCGUGCUUAACACAUGCAAGUCGAACGAUGAACCCGGAGCUUGCUCCGGCGGAUUAGUGGCGAACGGGUGAGUAACACGUGAGUAACCUGCCCUUGACUCUGGGAUAACUGCUAGAAAUGGUAGCUAAUACCGGAUACGACCCUCGGUGGCAUCACCAGGGGGUGGAAAGAAUUUCGGUCAAGGAUGGACUCGCGGCCUAUCAGCUAGUUGGUGAGGUAACGGCUCACCAAGGCGACGACAGGUAGCCGGCCUGAGAGGGUGACCGGCCACACUGGGACUGAGACACGGCCCAGACUCCUACGGGAGGCAGCAGUGGGGAAUAUUGCACAAUGGGCGCAAGCCUGAUGCAGCGACGCCGCGUGAGGGAUGACGGCCUUCGGGUUGUAAACCUCUUUCAGCAUCGACGAAGCGCAAGUGACGGUAGGUGCAGAAGAAGGACCGGCCAACUACGUGCCAGCAGCCGCGGUAA
rnacentral:rRNA from 1 species